GACGAACGCUGGCGGCGUGCUUAACACAUGCAAGUCGAACGGAAAGGCCCUGCUUGCAGGGUACUCGAGUGGCGAACGGGUGAGUAACACGUGGGUGAUCUGCCCUGCACUUCGGGAUAAGCCUGGGAAACUGGGUCUAAUACCGGAUAGGAGCCAUUUUUAGUGUGAUGGUUGGAAAGUUUUUUCGGUGUAGGAUGAGCUCGCGGCCUAUCAGCUUGUUGGUGGGGUAAUGGCCUACCAAGGCGGCGACGGGUAGCCGGCCUGAGAGGGUGGACGGCCAAAUUGGACCUGGGUUCCGCCCAGGCUCCUACGGGGGGCCACAGGGGGGAAUAUUGCAAAAUGGGCGCAAGCCUGAUGCAGCGACGCCGCGUGGGGGAUGACGGCCUUCGGGUUGUAAACUCCUUUCGCUAGGGACGAAGCUUUUUGUGACGGUACCUAGAUAAGAAGCACCGGCUAACUACGUG
rnacentral:rRNA from 1 species